AGAGUUUGAUCCUGGCUCAGAAUGAACGCUGGCGGCGUGCUUUACACAUGCAAGUCGAGCGAGGCGGGGAGCAAUCCCCAGUCGAGCGGCGAACGGGUGAGUAACGCGUGGAUGACCUGCCUUGAGGUGGGGGAUAACUCGGGGAAACUCGAGCUAAUACCGCAUAUGACCGCGAGGUCAAAGGAGGCCGCAAGGCUUCCGCCACAAGAGGGGUCCGCGUCCGAUUAGCUAGUUGGUAGGGUAAUGGCCUACCAAGGCGACGAUCGGUAGCCGGCCUGAGAGGGUGAUCGGCCACACUGGAACUGAGACACGGUCCAGACUCCUACGGGAGGCAGCAGUGGGGAAUUUUGCGCAAUGGGCUAACGCCUGACGCAGCAACGCCGCGUGGAGGAUGAAGGUCUUUGGAUUGUAAACUCCUGUCAGCAGGGAAAAAGGGACGGGGCCUAAUACGCCUCGAACUUGAUUGUACCUGCAGAGGAAGCCCCGGCUAACUNUGUGCCAGCAGCCGCGGUAAUACAGAGGGGGCAAGCGUUAUUCGGAAUUAUUGGGNGUAAAGGGCGCGUAGGCGGCUAUCCAAGUGGCGGGUGAAAUCCCUCGGCUUAACCGAGGAACUGCCUGCCAGACUGAAUGGCUUGAGACCGGGAGAGGUGAGUGGAAUUCCCAGUGUAGCGGUGAAAUGCGUAGA
rnacentral:rRNA from 1 species